UGUGAAUCAAAGGAGAUUAAGUAAGGAUGAUCAAGAAAUUUGCUACAAAAUAUAUUCUGCUGAUCUGAAAACAAAACAAAAAAAAACAGUAGCAUAGCACCCUGAAGGUGCUGAAAAAAAUGUUGGGGGGGGGGAGUAUAGGGAGGAGGUGUUAGGGGAUAGCUAAUGAAUGAACAAAGGAUUGCAAAACAUUUCUGAGAAAGAGUCUCAAGGAGCUGUUGGAGACAAGACAAAGCACUGACUUGAUCUCAGUCAGAAGUGAGUAAACCAGAAUGCAAUAUUUCUCCCUGAUAACACUCUUUCCUGCCUCUCCCCAAACAAGAUUUCCCAAGAGACAAAUUCCUCCGGAGGUCCAGUGCUGUGAAACAUGUGUAAGGAUGUCUCCCACCACUCCAGUCUUGGAAAGAAUCAUGCCAUCUCACACAGACUCUGCAGUUAUUUGGUGAAACGGAUCCAACUAAAGUCAAUGCAUUCUGAAAUAGUGGAAGAAGAGCACACGGGCCAGCAGAGGGUGGAAAAUAUUGGAAAAUCCAAGGCAGAAGUGGUGUAACCCCUAAGGUUUGGCUCCUCCAUGCUGAGAGAGAUUUACUGUAGCUGUUGCAAAGGAUGUUUGUUGAAGAGAAGAUUGAACAGGAGACCCUAUUCAGAGCUAGUGGUCACUUAGAAGAUCUUGGAAGCGUUCCUGGACAAGGACACAGCCAACCGAAGCUCAAGCUGAGCCUCGCAAAGCCAUCCCCAUUGCACACAAAAGCACUAGGAGCUGUUCCCAUCCCAUAUUUAAUUCAGCGUCCAAAGGAAUGAAAACCCUUCUAUUAUGAGAGACUGUGAACUCCAGGAUGAUGGGAGAAGGGAAUAGCGUCUGUGCAUAUGGACCAGGAUAAAGGAUUUGAUCAAACAUCAAGUUUUUAAAAACAGACUGCACAAAUAUCUGCUAGGAUUGAUGUCCACCUGAAAAUCAUCACGCCAUGACAGGAGUUUUUUGAGAUGUGCCCUUGGGAUCUCUACUUGAAUCCUAUGAUUCUUUGAUCUCCUUAGGGCUAAUGAACUUAACUUGUCCCUUCCUUGAGAUCAGGAUUGAGAGUCUAUUUUUGAGACACUGAUGUCUGUGAGGUCUUACACUAAAUAUUUUAGUAUUGCCAUUUUUAUACACUAUUUCUAAAAUGAUGAGAUGUUUCAUCCCACAGUUUGAUAGCGUCUGUCGAGUUGGACUAUAACCUUAAUCAUGAUUAUAG
rnacentral:lncRNA from 1 species